rnacentral:rRNA from 1 species
GAAUAUUGGACAAUGGGGGCAACCCUGAUCCAGCCAUGCCGCGUGUGUGAAGAAGGCCUUCGGGUUGUAAAGCACUUUAAGCAGGGAGGAAGGGCGAUGGCCGAAUAAGUCAUUGCAUUGACGUUACCUGCAGACUAAGCACCGGCUAACUCCGUGCCAGCCGCCGCGGUAAUACGGAGGGUGCAAGCGUUAACCGGAAUUACUGGGCGUAAAGCGCGCGUAGGCGGUUUGUUAAGUGUGAUGUGAAAGCCCAGGGCUUAACCUUGGAACUGCAUCACAUACUGGCAGGCUAGAGUACGGUAGAGGGGGGUAGAAUUCCACGUGUAGCGGUGAAAUGCGUAGAGAUGUGGAGGAAUACCAGUGGCGAAGGCGGCCCCCUGGAUCGAUACUGACGCUGAGGUGCGAAAGCGUGGGGAGCAAACAGG